CAUUUCUCAUUUAAAUUGCUUCUUACACAUUGAUAAUUCUCUAGUACUGAGCAGAGACUUUUCCAUCUGCUAUAUAUGGACAUCCAUGAUACAAACUAAAAUCAGAUUUGGAAAAUGCAAGUGAGACUUUAAUGGGGACAUUCAGGCGUGCAAGUUGUAAGUCAGAGUAAGUAUUGUGUGAAACCCAGUAAAGUUUACAUAGUAAGAAACUGAUUAGGAGAGUGAUGCACUAGUUUUACUGAAUUCCUAAGCUGAAGUGACAAUUUGAGAUAAAGUGAUUAUUACACACCUGUAGUCACAUGUGCUGCGUAAGUAGUCCAUAUCUCUAAUUAAACAGAAGUUCUCAUUUGUUUUGACGAGGCCCAGCUUGCUCCUGUCUGUUACAGAGCCCUUUCUUGUUGUGGUUAUGUGGGCAGGGUGCCUUCUGUGCCUACUGAUGGUGACCUGCUGCUAAAUUUCCAGAAUGCCCUUGAGUGUGUGAGCACAGGUGUGAGAGGUGAUGUAGACAAGGAGUAG
rnacentral:lncRNA from 1 species